rnacentral:rRNA from 1 species
AACGAACGCUGGCGGCAUGCCUAACACAUGCAAGUCGAACGAGACCUUCGGGUCUAGUGGCGCACGGGUGCGUAACGCGUGGGAACCUGCCCUUAGGUUCGGAAUAACUCCCCGAAAGGGGUGCUAAUACCGGAUAAUGUCUUCGGACCAAAGAUUUAUCGCCUUUGGAUGGGCCCGCGUUGGAUUAGCUAGUUGGUAGGGUAAAAGCCUACCAAGGCGACGAUCCAUAGCUCGUCUGAGAGGAUGAUCAGCCACACUGGGACUGAGACACGGCCCAGACUCCUACGGGAGGCAGCAGUGGGGAAUAUUGGACAAUGGGCGAAGGCCUGAUCCAGCAAUGCCGCGUGAGUGAUGAAGGCCUUAGGGUUGUAAAGCUCUUUUACCCGGGAUGAUAAUGACAGUACCGGGAGAAUAAGCUCCGGCUAACUCCGUG